rnacentral:rRNA from 1 species
AUUGAACGCUGGCGGCAGGCUUAACACAUGCAAGUCGAGCGGUAGUACAAGGGAGCUUGCUCUCUGGGUGACGAGCGGCGGACGGGUGAGUAAUGUCUGGGAAACUGCCUGAUGGAGGGGGAUAACUACUGGAAACGGUAGCUAAUACCGCAUAACGUCGCAAGACCAAAGAGGGGGACCUUCGGGCCUCUUGCCAUCAGAUGUGCCCAGAUGGGAUUAGCUAGUAGGUGGGGUAAUGGCUCACCUAGGCGACGACCCCUAGCUGGUCUGAGAGGAUGACCAGCCACACUGGAACUGAGACACGGUCCAGACUCCUACGGGAGGCAGCAGUGGGGAAUAUUGCACAAUGGGCGCAAGCCUGAUGCAGCCAUGCCGCGUGUGUGAAGAAGGCCUUCGGGUUGUAAAGCACUUUCAGCGAGGAGGAAGGUGGUGAACUUCAUACUCUCAUCAAUUGACGUUUCUUCCCAAAAGAAGCACCCGCUUAACUCCGUUGCCACCCGCCGCGGUAAUACGGAGGGCGCAUAGCGUUUAUCCGAAUUACUGGGCGUAAGCGCACGCAGGCGGUUUGUUAAGUCAGAUGUGAAAUCCCCGGGCUCAACCUGGGAACUGCAUUUGAAACUGGCAAGCUAGAGUCUCGUAGAGGGGGGUAGAAUUCCAGGUGUAGCGGUGAAAUGCGUAGAGAUCUGGAGGAAUACCGGUGGCGAAGGCGGCCCCCUGGACGAAGACUGACGCUCAGGUGCGAAAGCGUGGGGAGCAAACAGGAUUAGAUACCCUGGUAGUCCACGCUGUAAACGAUGUCGAUUUGGAGGUUGUGCCCUUGAGGCGUGGCUUCCGGAGCUAACGCGUUAAAUCGACCGCCUGGGGAGUACGGCCGCAAGGUUAAAACUCAAAUGAAUUGACGGGGGCCCGCACAAGCGGUGGAGCAUGUGGUUUAAUUCGAUGCAACGCGAAGAACCUUACCUACUCUUGACAUCCAGAGAACUUUCCAGAGAUGGAUUGGUGCCUUCGGGAACUCUGAGACAGGUGCUGCAUGGCUGUCGUCAGCUCGUGUUGUGAAAUGUUGGGUUAAGUCCCGCAACGAGCGCAACCCUUAUCCUUUGUUGCCAGCGGUUCGGCCGGGAACUCAAAGGAGACUGCCAGUGAUAAACUGGAGGAAGGUGGGGAUGACGUCAAGUCAUCAUGGCCCUUACGAGUAGGGCUACACACGUGCUACAAUGGCAUAUACAAAGAGAAGCGACCUCGCGAGAGCAAGCGGACCUCAUAAAGUAUGUCGUAGUCCGGAUUGGAGUCUGCAACUCGACUCCAUGAAGUCGGAAUCGCUAGUAAUCGUAGAUCAGAAUGCUACGGUGAAUACGUUCCCGGGCCU